rnacentral:rRNA from 1 species
AUUGAACGCUGGCGGAAUGCUUUACACAUGCAAGUCGAACGGCAGCACGGGGGCAACCCUGGUGGCGAGUGGCGAACGGGUGAGUAAUACAUCGGAACGUGCCCGGUCGUGGGGGAUAACGUAGCGAAAGUUACGCUAAUACCGCAUACGAUCUGAGGAUGAAAGCGGGGGACCUUCGGGCCUCGCGCGAUCGGAGCGGCCGAUGUCAGAUUAGGUAGUUGGUGGGGUAAAGGCCUACCAAGCCGACGAUCUGUAGCUGGUCUGAGAGGACGACCAGCCACACUGGGACUGAGAAACGGCCCAGACUCCUACGGGAGGCAGCAGUGGGGAAUUUUGGACAAUGGGCGCAAGCCUGAUCCAGCCAUUCCGCGUGCAGGACGAAGGCCUUCGGGUUGUAAACUGCUUUUGUAUGGAACGAAAAGGCUCUGGCUAAUACCUGGGGCUCAUGACGGUACCGGAAGAAUAAGCACCGGCUAACUACGUG